UAUUAAAAAUCUCAUCCGUUUGUAAAGUUAAAAAUUGACAUGGUUGAUGGAAUAACUAAAUAGUGACAUGUGACGUGCAACAUGUACCUUUUACUGACAUAUAGCUAUAGGGAUCAAUUUUUAACAAUAGAAAUAGAUUAAAACUUUCAACA
rfam:Gossypium raimondii Chr13_contig_1283, whole genome shotgun sequence.